GAUGAACGCUGGCGGCGUGCUUAACACAUGCCAGUCGAGCGAGAAGUUUUGAAAAGAUUCUUCGGAUGAAAUUUAAAAUGGAAAGCGGCGGACGGGUGAGUAACGCGUAGGCAACCUGCCCCAUACAAAGGGAUAGCAUUUGGAAACGAAUAUUAAUACCUUAUGAAACUUAACUAGUGCAUGCUAGGUAGGUCAAAGAUUUAUCGGUAUGGGAUGGGCCUGCGUCUGAUUAGCUAGUUGGUGAGGUAACGGCUCACCAAGGCGACGAUCAGUAGCCGACCUGAGAGGGUGAACGGCCACAUUGGAACUGAGACACGGUCCAAACUCCUACAGGAGGCAGCAGUGGGGAAUAUUGCACAAUGGGGGAAACCCUGAUGCAGCAACGCCGCGUGAACGAUGAAGGCCUUUGGGUCGUAAAGUUCUGUUCUAGGUGAUGAAAACUGACAGUAACCGAGGAGAAAGCCCCGGCUAACUCCGUG
rnacentral:rRNA from 1 species